UACGAAGGGGGCUAGCGUUGUUCGGAAUUACUGGGCGUAAAGCGCGCGCAGGCGGCUAUCCAAGUCAGUGGUGAAAGCCCGGAGCUCAACUCCGGAACUGCCAUUGAAACUGUUUAGCUUGAGGACGAGAGAGGUGAGUGGAAUUCCCAGUGUAGAGGUGAAAUUCGUAGAUAUUGGGGAAGAACAACCGGUGGCGAAGGCGGCUCACUGGCUCGUAUCUGACGCUCAGGCGCGACAGCGUGGGGGAUCAAACAGG
rnacentral:rRNA from 1 species